rnacentral:misc_RNA from 1 species
AAAGAAAAAAAAGAAAAAAGAAAAUACUUAGAUGUGAAAAUUAUGAUGUGUGUAGUUGAUAAAUAAGACAUAAGCUGAAAAUGGAGGAGCAGCAGGGAAGAGCUUUCCAAGAGAGACCUUGCCACUACAUGCCAACAUCACAUGCAGAGGAUGGACCUUCAAAAGGGUCCACUAUGAGAGGAAUCUUAUAUGUUCUUAAUCUCAGGACCUAACCUAAUUAAGCACACACACUUGAUUAAUUAUUGUUAUAGCAGGCAUGUGAUUAUAAAAUACAUACAAUCUUAUAAUCAUACAAUAUUAAAAAAUAAUAAUACAAGAUUUACAUAGUUUGAUUAUAAGAUUUAUAUUCACGGACAAAGUGAAAGAAAAAGUUUCACCGUAAUGAAAAAAAAGUAAGAUAUAAUUAUUCAGAACUCUAAAACUCUGAUUUUAGUGUAUUUUUAAAAUUUUUUUUUUACAAAUUUACUACAAAGUGUAAAAAGUAUAAUAUUUAUAUUAAUUCAUUUUUUAUUUCAAUUAAAUCACAAUACGAAAAUUUCAAGUUGGUCAUAAU